ACCUUUCACUUUGUUAGGGAUCUUAUGGUCAGAUAAUACGCCUGUCGCACUCUUUCAUUUCAUCCAUCUUGUACUGAUCCUAUUGGCUUGUACAUGUCACACUUUGAAAGUAUUGAUCCUAUGAACCACACGUGGCCAAUUGACAUGACACUCAUAAGGACUUAACAUGCUAAUUAUGCUAAUAGGGUGCAAGUACUGUCUUACUUAAUAAGAUCUUUUACAAUUUCUCAACCAAACUCCCAAAAAUUAAAUUGAAUUCAUUUUUUUACCUCAAAAAA
rnacentral:misc_RNA from 1 species